GAGGAUCCCCAAGAUCACAUCUGAUGGGUGUUCCUCACUCAAGAAGAGGAGGAACCCGUCCUCCUCUGGGGACCUGGACUGAGGCUCUUCCCUCCCAGCACGGCUGUCCGAUCUCAAACGAUGGCACUUAAAGGCCAAUGGCCACAAGCUCUCGGUAGCGCUGGUGCUACCAGAGCACUGAUUAUAGUUCCCUUACAACGCUCAUUUCAAGCUGUUUAUUGCUACAUGAGGAAAGUCGUAUUGAAGUGUCUUGUGAUCUCAGGCAUCAGAUGUAUUUUGGAGACAAAGUUUGAUGGAAUUCAAUUUCUCUGUUGGUUUUCCUCUCCCAGCUUCUGCCCGCAUACAGCUGAGCGCAAAAACCCCCUCAGCUGAGAAGUUUUUAUAGUCGUACCAAGAUCUCUGAAACAGUUUCUCCUAAAAUAUUCAGGCUUAGUCACCAGUGUGAAGGAAUAGCGAACUUUUGACGAUUUGGGAGCUGCGUGCUGACACAAACGCGCAAAACUCCUCCAGCAUCGCACCUGGGACCCGAAGCCGCUGUCAGCGCAGGGGUGAAAACGAGAACAAAAUUAGCUCCUGGGAGGCCCAGCCGAGCUCCAGAGCAAGCCGGGCUGUCUGCCCCGAGAGCUGCCGUGUCCCGACGUAGUUUCCUGACGCCGAUGUUCGUCCUGCCAUUGCCUUCUGCCUUAGAUGACACCUGUGGAACCCUUCCCCCUCUGAUGCCAAUCUGCUGUACUAAUUAGACCCGCAGAUGGUUUGUUUCUGCCUGCCUCAUCUUCUGCAAAGAGAUGGACUGAGCCCUCAGUGAGCUUUUGCAAAUCAUCGCCAGGGAGUUUGAACACAUCUACCUCAGUGGAGUUACAUAAAUAUUACAAACAUGUGUAUAGCUGUACAUUAAAUGGCAUUCUGCUCUGCAGGAAAGCACACCAAAGAUAAAGAAGCAGAGAAGAACAUGAAUUCUUUUGUUGGUGGCCAGGAAGGGGUCAUUAGUGCUGCCCAGCUGCUUUGCUGCCCAAAUCACACACCUGAUGCCACUUUGCAGGACUUGGGGGUCUGAAUCAUUUCUAGUCCUGCUUCGCUCCAGCUCGCUGCUUUGUUCUGCACUUGCUUGUCCCAGGGCAGCCUGGCAGGUCCGUGAGCUCGGCAUCACUGAGAGGCUUCGUUUCGCUUGCCCCGUGGAUGGAGGUUAGCUGGUAUGGGUGAAGGUUAGUCGGGUUUGUGUUGCAAGAGGUGGUGGAUCUGCAGCUACAGCUACUAUCAGUUUCUUAGUAAUUGUCCUCUCAACUUGUUCUGCUUUCGUGUUAUUCCCUUGUCCCACCUCCAUCUUCUCCCAAGACGUUUUUGUCUUCCCACUGUUUGUACCACUGACACAGGAGGGCUGGGGAUCAAAAUGUCUGGGUCUUGCCCUCCACAUCGAUGUUGUUUGCUGGUACGAAAUGCCUGGGCACCAGCUGCUUCAGCAGGCUGUACGGGGGUUUUGGUGCUGGUGUGGAAAAGCUCAUGUAGAUCCAGCUCUGUCCCAGAGGUGCUGGUGACCACAUGGCAGCUGGGGAGACCCCCCAGCACCCCCCAGGGCAAACUCAAGUCAAAGGGAACUGCCAGGAGAUGGAGAAGCAUGGCACCGCUCACCCUGC